GACGAAGGGUGCAAGCGUUAUCCGGAUUCAUUGGGUUUAAAGGGAGCGUAGGUGGCCAAAUAAGUCAGUGGUGAAAUCCUGUUGCUUAACUACAGAAUUGCCAUUGAUACUGUAUGGCUUGAGUAUAGUUGCCGUUGGCGGAAUAUGACAUGUAGUGGUGAAAUACAUAGAGAUGUCAUAGAACACCGAUUGCGAAGGCAGCUGACGAAACUAUAACUGACACUGAGGCUCGAAAGUGCGGGGAUCAAACAGG
rnacentral:rRNA from 1 species